AGCAGCCGCGGUAAUUCCAGCUCCAAUAGCGUAUAUUAAAGUUGUUGCAGUUAAAAAGCUCGUAGUUGAAUUUCGGGGUUAGUAGGUUGGUCAUGCCUCUGGUAUGUACUGGUCUCACUGAUUCCUCCUUCCUGAUGAGCCGUAAUGCCAUUAAUUUGGUGUUGCGGGGAAUUUGGACUGUUACUUUGAAAAAAUUGAGUGUUUAAAGCAAGCUAACGCUUGAAUACAUUAGCAUGGAAUAAUGAAAUAGGACGUUCGAUCCUAUUUUGUUGGUUUCUAGGAUUGACGUAAUGAUUAAUAGGGAUAGUUGGGGGCAUUAGUAUUCAAUUGUCAGAGGUGAAAUUCUUGGAUUUAUUGAAGACUAACUACUGCGAAAGCAUUUGCCAAGGAUGUUUUCAUUAAUCAAGAACGAAGUUAGGGAUCGAAGACGAUCAGAUACCGUGUAGUCUUAACCAUAAACUAUGACCGACUAGGGAUCGGAUGAUAGUUUAUUUUUAAUGUACUUNAUUCGGCGUCCUUA
rnacentral:rRNA from 1 species